GUGAGCAAUGCAACCAAAGGUGACGUCCUUCAAUCAUUUUUACGAUACUACUCCUUCCUUUUUCAAUGUGAUUCUGCUACUAUUGGAACCUGCAGCUUACAUUUUGAUGGAGUGUUUUUGGGCCAAUUGAGCAAUCUGACUCUUUCCUUCUCCGAGGGAGUUCAGUGAGGUUUGGAGCGGAGUGUGCGGCCUGGAGAUCCUGGAGAAGGGGUGUAAGCCCAUGCUUGACUCCAUUUUCCAACAAUCUCACUGAUUAAAGCACUGAGCAAGACUGAAAUCAACGAGGACGAGAUCAGAAGGCAGGCGGGCGUUUGGCACACUCCUCCUUCUUCUGCCAGAGGUAAAAAGAGAAGAUUCUGGAUUGUGAUAAGGGCAGAAAGCUCUCUUCGUGGAUGCUUGUGAACAACAA